UCCCAGACUCCUACGGGAGGCAGCAGUGGGGAAUAUUGCACAAUGGGGGGAACCCUGAUGCAGCGACGCCGCGUGGGUGAAGGAGCACCUCGGUGCGUAAAGCCCUAUCGGCAGGGAAGAAACAGACGGUACCUGACUAAGAAGCCCCGGCUAACUACGUGCCAGCAGCCGCGGUAAUACGUAGGGGGCAAGCGUUAUCCGGAUUCACUGGGUGUAAAGGGAGCGUAGACGGCGACGCAAGUCUGGAGUGAAAGCCCGGGGCCCAACCCCGGGACUGCUCUGGAAACUGCGGCGCUGGAGUACGGGAGGGGCAGGCGGAAUUCCUGGUGUAGCGGUGAAAUGCGUAGAUAUUAGGAGGAACACCAGUGGCGAAGGCGGCUUGCUGGACAGAGACUGACGUUGAGGCUCGAAAGCGUGGGGAGCAAACAGGAUUAGAUACCCCAGUAAU
rnacentral:rRNA from 1 species